GACAGAGGGGGCAAGCGUUGCUCGGAAUUACUGGGCGUAAAGGGCGCGUAGGCGGGAUGGCAAGUCGGUCGUGAAAUCCCUCGGCUCAACCGAGGAACGUCGAUCGAUACUGCUGUUCUUGAGGAUUGCAGAAGAGACUGGAAUUCCCGGUGUAGCGGUGAAAUGUGUAGAGAUCGGGAGGAACACCAAUGGCGAAGGCAGCUCGCUGGGACGUUACUGACGCUGAGACGGCGAAAGCGUGGGGAGCAAACAGG
rnacentral:rRNA from 1 species